UCGGGAAUGUUAAAAAUAAGUAUUGUGCAUUGUCCAUAACAAAAUAUUGCUAAAUCGCCGCCGAAAGUGAAUAAUUCGUUGUCGGAGUAUGCUGUGUAAAGCAUCGUACGUUCGGCGAAUUGAGCAUACGAUUGAGGCUGAGGUCUGAAUCGUCAAUUUGUGUGUUUUUACUUGCUAAAGGAUAGUCCGGAUGCGAAUUAUGAUCGAGAGCACUGAAAAAUCUCUGGCGGAACUUGCGACCACACGGACGUCGGUCCCGGAUAUGCGGAUGCAGUACCGAAGGAUCCGGGCCAAGCAGGGUCGGCACGAAGAUGGACAUUGCCGGUCCUGAUUCGACGGGGUUUGGUGAGCGAAAACAAUGGCUGCGAAAUGCAGAUGGUGGUGGGUUUAGAGAUAAGUUUGUUCUCGCCAUACGUAAUUGAGACUGGACAGUUAUUUCGCGAAACCAUUCGUUUAAUUUGACCGCCUAUCAUUGUUUCGAACAAUGUACAACGUGUGAAAAAGGGGGGGGGGAUCUUUCUCCGCUUCAUAUCAAGCAAAACUGAAAUCUUACUAAAAAAAAAAAUCUACGCGUACAGAAAUGUACAAACAUAAUUUUCUGACGUUUCAUAUUUGUACAUGGGUGAAAUUUCGCUUUUUAAAAUUCUGCAUUAAAACCGAAGCUCGCCUAAAAUA